rnacentral:rRNA from 1 species
UACGGAGGGAGCUAGCGUUGUUCGGAAUUACUGGGCGUAAAGCGCACGUAGGCGGCUAUUCAAGUCGGGGGUGAAAGCCCGGGGCUCAACCCCGGAACUGCCCUCGAAACUAGGUAGCUAGAAUCUUGGUGAGGUCAGUGGAAUUCCGAGUGUAGAGGUGAAAUUCGUAGAUAUUCGGAAGAACACCAGUGGCGAAGGCGACUGACUGGACAAGUAUUGACGCUGAGGUGCGAAAGCGUGGGGAGCAAACAGG